CCAAAAGUUAAAGGUGGAAUGGGCUUUCGAUAUUUGCAUAUGUUUAAUCUAGCACUCUUGGGAAAGCACGAAUGGAGAUUUAAGAGCAAUCCAAAUUCCUUUUGUGCGAGAGUUUUAAAGGCCAGAUACUUCUCGGACACUGAUUUCCUGCACGCUAGCGCACCAAAAUCCUCAUCGGCUACUUGGCGGACGAUGUGGCCGGAAGGGACGCUCUUAAUAAUGGCUUGA
rnacentral:rRNA from 1 species